UACGAAGGAUUCGAGCGUUAUCCGGAUUUAUUGGGUUUAAAGGGUGCGUAGGCGGACUGAUAAGUCAGUGGUGAAAUCCUGUUGCUCAACAACAGAACUGCCAUUGAUACUGCCAGUCUUGAGUACAGUUGAGGUAGGCGGAAUGUGUCAUGUAGUGGUGAAAUACUUAGAUAUGACACAGAACACCGAUUGCGAAGGCAGCUUGCUAAACUGUAACUGACGCUGAGGCACGAAAGCAUGGGGAGCAAACAGG
rnacentral:rRNA from 1 species